AGGCCCCUGCAACACAAGUGCCAGCUGCUCAGGACCUUUCAGCGUCAGUGCCAGCUCCUCAGGCCCCUGCAACACAAGUGCCAGCUGCUCAGGCCCCUGCAACACAAGUACCAGCUGCUCAGGCCCCUGCUCCACAAGCCUCUCAGGCCC